UGAGUGGUGAAAGGUCAAGGUCAAAUGUCAAAUUUAUGGUGUCUGUCCGCCCGAAAAACUUUAACAUUGGCCAUAACUUUUUCACUAUUGAAGAAAGCAACUUGUUAUUUGGCAUGCAUGUGUAUCUCAUGGAGCUGAACAUUUUGAGUGGUGAAAGGUGAAGGUGAAGGUCAUCCUUCAAGGUCAAAUGUCAAAUAUAUGGCGUCUAUCCGUCCGAAAACUUUAACAUUGGCCAUAACUUUUUUAAUAUUGAAGAUAGCAACUUGAUAUUUGGCAUGCAUGUGUAUCUCAUGAAGCUGCACAUUUUGAGUGGUGGAAGUUCAAGGUCAAGGUCAUCCUUUAAGGUCAUCCUUCAAGGUAAAAAAAAAAAAUCAAAGCGGCGUUCUCAUGAAGUUGCACAUUUUGAGUGGUGGAAGUUCAAGGUCAUCCUUCAAGGUCAAGGUCAUCCUUCAAGGUCAAAGGUCAAAAAACAAAUAAAAAAUUUCAAAGCGGCAUUUUCAUGAAGCUGCACAUUUUGAGUGGUGGAAGUUCAAGGUCAAGGUCAUCCUUCAAGGUCAAGGUCAUCCUUCAAGGUUAAAGGUCAAACAAAAUAUUUAAAAAAAUCAAAGCGGCGUUAUCAUGAAGCUGCACAUUUUGAGUGGUGGAAGUUCAAGGUCAAGGUCAUCCUUCAAGGUCAAGGUCAUCCUUCAAGGUCAAAGGUCAAAAAAAUAAUAUUUCAAAGCGACCUUCUCAUAAAGCUGCACAUUUUGAGUGGUGAAAGUUCAAGGUCAAGGUCAUCCUUCAAGGUCAAA